GACGUAAGGUGCGAGCGUUGUCCGGAUUUAUUGGGCGUAAAGAGCUCGUAGGCGGCUCGUCGCGUCGACCGUGAAAACCCGCGGCUUAACUGCGGGCUUGCGGUUGAUACGGGCGGGCUAGAGUUCGGUAGGGGAGACUGGAAUUCCUGGUGUAGCGGUGAAAUGCGCAGAUAUCAGGAGGAACACCGGUGGCGAAGGCGGGUCUCUGGGCCGAUACUGACGCUGAGGAGCGAAAGCGUGGGGAGCGAACAGG
rnacentral:rRNA from 1 species